GCAAGUCGAGCGGUAACAGGCGAGUGCUUGCACUUGCGCUGACGAGUGGCGGACGGGCGAGUAAUGCAUAGGACUCUGUCCUUUCGAGGGGGAUAGCUCCGGGAAACUAGAGGUAAUACCGCGUACAACCUACGGGUUAAAGGUGGCGCAAGCUGCCGCGAAAGGGUGAGCCUAUGUUAGAUUAGCUAGAUGGUGAGGUAAAAGCUCACCAUGGCUACGAUCCAUAGCUGGUCUGAGAGGAUGAUC
rnacentral:rRNA from 1 species